AAGAAAGAGCGGAGACGUUUUUGGGGAAUGAACGGAGGCGUUUUUGGGGGAAAGAAAGAGCGGAGAAUUUUGGGGAACGAGUGGAGAAUUUUGGGGAACGAGCGGAGAAGUUUUUGGGGAGAGAAAGAGAGGAGAAGUUGUUUGGGGAAAGAAAGAGCAGAGAAUUUUGGGGAAAGAGCGGAGAAAAUUUGGGGAAAGAAAGAGCGGAGACGUUUUUGGGGGACGAGCGGAAAAUUUGGGGGAAAGAAAGAGCGGAGACGUUUUUGGGGAACGAGCGGAAAAUUUGGGGAAAGAAAGAGCGGAGGCAUUUUUGGGGAAGGAAAGAGUGGAGACUUUUUGGGGAAAGAGCGGAGAAUUUUGGGGAACGAGCAGAAAAAAGUUUGGGGAAAAAAAGAGCGGAGGCGUUUUUUGGGGAAGAACGAGCGGAGAAUUUUGGGGAACGAGCGGAGAAGUUUUUGGGGAAAGAGCGGAGAAUUUUGGGGAAUGAGUGGAGACGUUUUUGGGGAAAGAGUGGAGGAGUUUGGGGCCAGGUGGAACCAGUUGGCUGGAGGAGUUGAGUGGAUUGGGUUGGCCAACUGGAAGAGGUCUACUGGAAGGGUCUUACUGGGAGGACCUAGCCAACUGGGAAGGUCUUACUGGGAGGACCUAGCCAACUGGAAGGGUCUAUCCAACUGGAAGGACCUAGCCUACUGGAAAGGUCUUACUGGGAGGACCUAGCCAACUGGAAGGGUCUUACUGGGAGGACCUAGCGUACUGGAAGGGUCUUGUCUACUGGAAGGGUCUAUCCAACUGGGAAGGU
rnacentral:lncRNA from 1 species